GCCCGGCUAGCUCAAUCGGUAGAGCGUGAGACUCUUACUGUAAGAGACCACUAUCUCAAGGUUGUGGGUUCGACCCCCACGUCGGGCU